rnacentral:rRNA from 1 species
AAUCAACGCUGGCGGCGUGCCUCAGACAUGCAAGUCGAACGAUUAAAGCUCUCUUCGGAGAGUGCAUAGAGUGGCGCACGGGUGAGUAACACGUAAGUAAUCUACCUUCGAGUGGGGAAUAACGUCCGGAAACGGACGCUAAUACCGCAUAAUGCAGCGGCAUCGCAAGAUGACAGUUGUUAAAGGAGCAAUUCGCUUGAGGAGGAGCUUGCGGCAGAUUAGCUUGUUGGUAAGGUAACGGCUUACCAAGGCUACGAUCUGUAACCGGUCUAAGAGGACGGUCGGUCACACUGACACUGAAUAACGGGUCAGACUCCUACGGGAGGCAGCAGUGGGGAAUCUUGCGCAAUGGGCGAAAAGCCUGACGCAGCAACGCCGCGUGGAGGAUGAAGGCCCUUGGGUUGUAAACUCCUGUCGGCUGGGAAGAAAUCGUGCGGUGCUCAUACCACCGUGCGUUGACUGUACCAGCAAAGGAA